GACGAACGCUGGCGGCGUGCUUAACACAUGCAAGUCGAACGGAAAGGCCCAGCUUGCUGGGUGCUCGAGUGGCGAACGGGUGAGUAACACGUGGGUGAUCUGCCCCUAACUUCGGGAUAAGCUUGGGAAACUGGGUCUAAUACCGGAUAGGACAAUCGUUUAGUGUCGGUUGUGGAAAGUUUUUUCGGUUAGGGAUGAGCCCGCGGCCUAUCAGCUUGUUGGUGGGGUAUUGGCCUACCAAGGCGUCGACGGGUAGCCGGCCUGAGAGGGUGGACGGCCACAUUGGGACUGAGAUACGGCCCAGACUCCUACGGGAGGCAGCAGUGGGGAAUAUUGCACAAUGGGCGCAAGCCUGAUGCAGCGACGCCGCGUGGGGGAUGACGGCCUUCGGGUUGUAAACCUCUUUCGACAGGGACGAAGCUUUGGUGACGGUACCUGUAUAAGAAGCACCGGCUAACUACGUG
rnacentral:rRNA from 1 species